rnacentral:rRNA from 1 species
UACAGAGGUGGCAAGCGUUGUCCGGAAUUAUUGGGCGUAAAGAGCGUGUAGGCGGUCCGGUAAGUCAGCUGUGAAAGUCAAGGGCUCAACCCUUGAAAGCCGGUUGAUACUGUCGGGCUAGAGUCCGGAAGAGGCGAGUGGAAUUCCCGGUGUAGCGGUGAAAUGCGCAGAUAUCGGGAGGAACACCAAUGGCGAAGGCAGCUCGCUGGGACGGUACUGACGCUGAGACGCGAAAGCGUGGGGAGCAAACAGG